UGACAUGGUCACUACACUAGGGGGUCGCU
rnacentral:sRNA from 1 species